AACGAACGCUGGCGGCAUGCCUAACACAUGCAAGUCGAACGGAACCUUCGGGCCUACUCGCGCACGCGGGCGUAACGGAUGGGAACCUGCCCUUGAGUUCGCAAUGACUCGCCGAAAGAGGUGCGAAUACCGGAGAAUAUCUUCGAACCAAAGAUUGAACGCGUUUGGGGGGUCCCGAGAUGUCUUGGCUUGUUAUUAGGGUAAAAGCCUACCAAGGGGACGAUCCGUAGCUGGUAAGUGAGGAAGAUUAGCGACACUGGUACUGAGCAACGGCCCAGAAUCUUACGGGAGGCAGCAGUGGGGAAUAUUGGAAAAUGGGCGGAGGGAUGAACCACCUCUGCCGCGUGAGUGAUGAAGGCCUUAGGGUUGUAAAGCUCUUUUAUCCGGGAUGAUAAUGACAGUACCGGGAGAAUAAGCACCGGCUAACUCCGUG
rnacentral:rRNA from 1 species